AUUGAACGCUGGCGGCAUGCCUUACACAUGCAAGUCGAACGGCAGCACGGGAGCAAUCCUGGUGGCGAGUGGCGAACGGGUGAGUAAUACAUCGGAACGUGCCCAGUAGUGGGGGAUAACCCGGCGAAAGCCGGACUAAUACCGCAUACGACCUACGGGUGAAAGCGGGGGAUCGCAAGACCUCGCGCUAUCGGAGCGGCCGAUGUCAGAUUAGCUAGUUGGUGGGGUAAAGGCCUACCAAGGCGACGAUCUGUAGCUGGUCUGAGAGGACGACCAGCCACACUAGGACUGAGACACGGCCCAGACUCCUACGGGAGGCAGCAGUGGGGAAUUUUGGACAAUGGGCGCAAGCCUGAUCCAGCCAUGCCGCGUGCGGGAAGAAGGCCUUCGGGUUGUAAACCGCUUUUGUCAGGGAAGAAACGCUCCGGGCUAAUACCACGGAGUAAUGACGGUACCUGAAGAAUAAGCACCGGCUAACUACGUG
rnacentral:rRNA from 1 species